ACGCUCGACACCUACUGGAGGCAGCAGUGGGGAAUAUUGCACAAUGGGGGAAACCCUGAUGCAGCGACGCCGCGUGAAGGAAGAAGUAUUUCGGUAUGUAAACUUCUAUCAGCAGGGAANAAAAUGACGGUACCUGACUAAGAAGCCCCGGCUAACUACGUGCCAGUAGCCGCGGUAAUCUGAGCGGGCGUGCAAGGC
rnacentral:rRNA from 1 species